AUUGAACGCUGGCGGAAUGCUUUACACAUGCAAGUCGAACGGCAGCACGGGGGCAACCCUGGUGGCGAGUGGCGAACGGGUGAGUAAUACAUCGGAACGUGCCCGGUCGUGGGGGAUAACGUAGCGAAAGUUACGCUAAUACCGCAUACGAUCUGAGGAUAAAAGCGGGGGACCUUCGGGCCUCGCGCGAUCGGAGCGGCCGAUGUCAGAUUAGGUAGUUGGUGGGGUAAAGGCCUACCAAGCCGACGAUCUGUAGCUGGUCUGAGAGGACGACCAGCCACACUGGGACUGAGACACGGCCCAGACUCCUACGGGAGGCAGCAGUGGGGAAUUUUGGACAAUGGGCGCAAGCCUGAUCCAGCCAUUCCGCGUGCAGGACGAAGGCCUUCGGGUUGUAAACUGCUUUUGUAUGGAACGAAAAGGCUCUGGCUAAUACCUGGGGCUCAUGACGGUACCGUAAGAAUAAGCACCGGCUAACUACGUG
rnacentral:rRNA from 1 species